GAUGAAGAACGUAGCGAAAUGCGAUAAGUAAUGUGAAUUGCAGAAUUCAGUGAAUCAUCGAGUCUUUGAACGCACAUUGCGCCCCCUGGUAUUCCGGGGGGCAUGCCUGUCCGAGCGUCAUUGCUGCCCUCAAGCACGGCUUGCGUGUUGGGCCCCCGUCCCCGGUUUCCCCCGGGGACGGGCCCGAAAGGCAGCGGCGGCACCGCGUCCGGUCCUCGAGCGUAUGGGGCUUUGUCACCCGCUCUGUAGGCCCGGCCGGCGCCAGCCGACACCCAACUUUAUUUCUAAGGUUGACCUCGGAUCAGGUAGGGAUACCCGCUGAACUUAAGCAUAUCAAUAAGCGGAGGA
rnacentral:misc_RNA from 1 species